GACGAACGCUGGCGGCGUGCUUAACACAUGCAAGUCGAACGGUGAAGCGCCUUCCUUUUUGGUGGGUGUGGAUGAGUGGCGAACGGGUGAGUAACACGUGAGUAACCUGCCCUCUUCUUCUGGAUAACCGCAUGAAAGUGUGGCUAAUACGGGAUAUUCUGGGUCUGUCGCAUGAUGGGUCUGGGAAAGAUAUUGUUUCGGUGGGGGAUGGGCUCGCGGCCUAUCAGCUUGUUGGUGGGGUGAUGGCCUACCAAGGCGGUGACGGGUAGCCGGCCUGAGAGGGUGGACGGUCACACUGGGACUGAGACACGGCGCAGACUCCGACGGGAGGCAGCAGUGGGGAAUAUUGCACAAUGGGCGCAAGCCUGAUGCAGCGACGCCGCGUGAGGGAUGGAGGCCUUCGGGUUGUGAACCUCUUUCGCCAGUGAAGCAGGCCUGCCUCGUUUGUGGGUGGGUUGACGGUAGCUGGAUAAGAAGCGCCGGCUAACUACGUG
rnacentral:rRNA from 1 species